AUUGAACGCUGGCGGCAGGCUUAACACAUGCAAGUCGAGCGGGCGAGGUUGCUUCGGUAACUGAGCUAGCGGCGGACGGGUGAGUAAUGCUUAGGAAUCUGCCUAUUAGUGGGGGACAACAUUCCGAAAGGAAUGCUAAUACCGCAUACGCCCUACGGGGGAAAGCAGGGGAUCUUCGGACCUUGCGCUAAUAGAUGAGCCUAAGUCAGAUUAGCUAGUUGGUGGGGUAAAGGCCUACCAAGGCGACGAUCUGUAGCGGGUCUGAGAGGAUGAUCCGCCACACUGGGACUGAGACACGGCCCAGACUCCUACGGGAGGCAGCAGUGGGGAAUAUUGGACAAUGGGCGCAAGCCUGAUCCAGCCAUGCCGCGUGUGUGAAGAAGGCCUUUUGGUUGUAAAGCACUUUAAGCGAGGAGGAGGCUACUUGGAUCAAUACUCUAGGAUAGUGGACGUUACUCGCAGAAUAAGCACCGGCUAACUCUGUGCCAGCCGCCGCCGUAAAAC
rnacentral:rRNA from 1 species